rnacentral:rRNA from 1 species
UACGUAGGGUGCAGGCGUUAAUCGGAAUUACUGGGCGUAAGGCGUGCGCAGGCGGUUUCUUAAGUCAGAUGUGAAAUCCCCGGGCUUAACCUGGGAACUGCGUUUGAAACUGGGAGACUUGAGUGUGGCAGAGGGGGGUGGAAUUCCACGUGUAGCAGUGAAAUGCGUAGAUAUGUGGAGGAACACCAAUGGCGAAGGCAGCCCCCUGGGUCAACACUGACGCUCAUGCACGAAAGCGUGGGGAGCAAACAGG